AUUGAACGCUGGCGGCAUGCUUUACACAUGCAAGUCGAACGGUAACAGGCCGCAAGGUGCUGACGAGUGGCGAACGGGUGAGUAAUGCAUCGGAACGUGCCCAGUCGUGGGGGAUAACGCAGCGAAAGCUGUGUUAAUACCGCAUACGAUCUAUGGAUGAAAGCGGGGGACCGUAAGGCCUCGCGCGAUUGGAGCGGCCGAUGUCAGAUUAGGUAGUUGGUGGGGUAAAGGCUCACCAAGCCAACGAUCUGUAGCUGGUCUGAGAGGACGACCAGCCACACUGGGACUGAGACACGGCCCAGACUCCUACGGGAGGCAGCAGUGGGGAAUUUUGGACAAUGGGCGCAAGCCUGAUCCAGCAAUGCCGCGUGCAGGAAGAAGGCCUUCGGGUUGUAAACUGCUUUUGUACGGAACGAAAAGGUCUGGGUUAAUACCCUGGGCUGAUGACGGUACCGUAAGAAUAAGCACCGGCUAACUACGUGCCAGCCGCCGCCGUAAUAC
rnacentral:rRNA from 1 species